ensembl:lncRNA
GGAAAACUUUCUCUGAAUCAUUUUUUCAGAUGACUGGGUAUAUUUUUGGAUUUUUCUAAUUUCUUAAAAUGAAAAUCCACGUAAGAAGGUUCUAAUUAUGCUAUAUUACAAAAGCCUCUAUUUUUUUUCUGUAUUUUUUUUCUUCAAUAUAUACUGAAAAUUAUCCCAUCAAGCUAUAUAUUCAGGCCACUUUUUUUUUUCCUGAAGUCUGAUCUUAAACCUUUGAACUCUGUAAUAACCUGAUUUAUUCUGCUCUGCCCCUUCCUCCUGCCAUAAACUCUGUGUGCAUUGCAGCUGAGAAGCACCAGGAAAGCCUUUGCUGGGAGCCGAGAGCAGGCAUGCAUAGAGCUGAAGGAAGGACUGACUCUUGCCUCAUCAGCAGCUUUGUGUUGUACAGCUUCACUGAUGCUUGAUGUGGGACUGCGUUCCAGAGCUUGAUGCUUUGUUCAGAUUAGUUAUGGACCCAGGAGGUGGGAUGCCUGAUGGUCAACAUAACCGUACCAAAAAAGAAAAGAUGACCCACUUGUCAUCUCCCAAAACCAGAGAGAUGUUGACUGGACUGGGGAGGAUGACGGCACGUCAAACAAAGCCAGCUGGGGAAGUUGGUUCGUUAAGUAUUAACCCUCUGAGGAGUAGAUUGAACUGCGCGAAGGAAACAUUCUGAGAAAACAUCAAAAGUAGCGUAGAUCUCUUCUGAGAAGCAAUGCUGUGGCUGGUAUUUGUGUCGGAAAAGGUGGAGACAAUGUGUUGUCUUGAGGAAUUCAGCCACGUAUACGGUUCUCAUGGCUAUAAAAGCAGAAAGUGGAACUAAAGGUUAAAGAUAAAUGCUGAGUUUAACCACCAAUACAACUACUGUUGCCUUAAGGACUCACUUCGGAAGGCAGCGGUUGGAUCACUCUGUUUUGGAGACUUGAUUUCAGAAAUUCCACACCUCUGAUACCAGCGGGAGCAUCUGGAGCAAUGAAGACUUUCUCUCAGUAGAGAUUAUCAGAACAUUUAAAUAAAUUGGACAAGAGCAAGUCCAUGGGAACCAAUGGGCUACAUCCACACGUGCUGAGGACAGACACCAUUUCAAGGACACUCAAGUAUCUUUGAAAGGUCACAGUAUCAGAGGAGGUUUCUGAGGUCUGGAAGAAAGUAAGUGUCAGACUUAACAUCAAGAAGAAUGAGAAUGUGAGUAAUUACAAGGCCAG